rnacentral:rRNA from 1 species
GACGAACGCUGGCGGCGUGCUUAACACAUGCAAGUCGAACGAAGAGCGACGGGAGCUUGCUUCUAUCAAUCUGAGUGGCGAACGGGUGAGUAACGCGUAACCAACCUGCCCUUCAGAGGGGGACAACAGUUGGAAACGACUGCUAAUACCGCAUACGAUCUAAUCUCGGCAUCGAGGAUGGAUGAAAGGCGGCCUCUACAUGUAAGCUAUCACUGAAGGAGGGGAUUGCGUCUGAUUAGCUAGUUGGAGGGGUAACGGCCCACCAAGGCGAUGAUCAGUAGCCGGUAUGCGAGGAUGGACGGCCACACUGGGACGGAGACACGGCCCAGACUGCUACGGGAAGGAGCAAUGGGGAAACUUGCGCAAUGGACGGAAGUCUGACGGAGCAACGCCGCGGGAGUGAUGACGGCCGUCGGGUUGGAAAGCUCUGUUUAUCGGGACGAAAGGCCUUCUUGCGAAUAGUGAGAAGGAUUGACGGUACCGGAAGAGAAAGCAACGGCUAACUACGUG